GCACUGGUUUGAAAAUAAACCUGAUCUUAAAUACAUUCAUUUGGCGGGUAAUAUGAUUAAAAAAAUUUCAGCCGAUCAAUUUGCGAGUUUAAAAGGGAAAACAUCGAUGUCAGUUUAUUUGGGUAAUAAUCCUGUAGAGAAAAUAGAAGAUGAUGCUUUCAAAGGACUUGAAGAAAUGUCACUCUUGUGUUUGAACAAUAUCAACCUUACAAAUAUCACCGGAACAUUUCUUCAAGAUGUUCAAAUGGAAAUUUUGGGAAUCAACGGAAACAAAAUUAACUGCGUUAAUGAGGACGACUUUGCUAAAGUUUUUGUAGCUAAGACGACUGAAAUGAAGGGAAAUCCACUGGAAGCUAAUUGUUUGAGCAAAAUUCAACUUUGGGCCCAAAAACACAACAAAACUGUUGUCACAAAGCCUGAGGCUUUCUUUCUAAAUUGCACAUAACAAAUAAGCAAGUUCAGGGUCCUGAAGAAUUGCCAGCUGAAACAUUCUAGGAAUUCCUGAAGCUUGUCUACCGGAAUUACCGCAAAGGUGUAACCUUUCACUACUUCUGCUGUUCAAAAUUUAUUAACAUAGUCGAGUUCCAUGUAAAUAAAAAAUAAAACACA